rnacentral:misc_RNA from 1 species
UCUCCGUUGGUGAACCAGCGGAGGGAUCAUUACAGGGUUGCAAAACUCCCAAACCAUUGUGAACGUUACCUAUCCCGUUGCUUCGGCGGGCGGCCCGGGCCCCGCGCCCGGCGCCCCCCGGCCCCCCGUGGGCGCCCGCCGGAGGUAAACCAAACCCUUGAAUUGCAUGGCCUCUCUGAGUCUUCUGUACUGAAUAAGUCAAAACUUUCAACAACGGAUCUCUUGGUUCUA